rnacentral:rRNA from 1 species
GACGAACGCUGGCGGCGUGCUUAACACAUGCAAGUCGAACGGAAAGGCCCUGCUUUUGUGGGGUGCUCGAGUGGCUAACGGGUGAGUAACACGUGAGUAACCUGCCCUUGACUUUGGGAUAACUUCAGGAAACUGGGGCUAAUACCGGAUAGGAGCUCCUGCUUCAUGGUGGGGGUUGGUAUGUUUCGGCGGUUGGGGAUGGACUCGCGGCUUAUCAGCUUGUUGGUGGGGUAGUGGCUUACCAAGGCUUUGACGGGUAGCCGGCCUGAGAGGGUGACCGGCCACAUUGGGACUGAGAUACGGCCCAGACUCCUACGGGAGGCAGCAGUGGGGAAUAUUGCACAAUGGGCGGAAGCCUGAUGCAGCAACGCCGCGUGCGGGAUGACGGCCUUCGGGUUGUAAACCGCUUUCGCCUGUGACGAAGCGUGAGUGACGGUAAUGGGUAAAGAAGCACCGGCUAACUACGUG